rnacentral:rRNA from 1 species
UACGGGGGGGGCAAGCGUUGUUCGGAAUUACUGGGCGUAAAGGGCUCGUAGGCGGCCAACUAAGUCCGACGUGAAAUCCCCAGGCUUAACCUGGGAACUGCGUCGGAUACUGGAUGGCUUGAAUUCGGGAGAGGGAUGCAGAAUUCCAGGUGUAGCGGUGAAAUGCGCAGAUAUCUGGAAGAACACCCGUGGCUAAGGCGGCUCUCUAGUACGGUACUGACGCUGAGACGCGAAAGCGUGGGGAGCGAACAGG